rnacentral:tRNA from 4 species
GGGGUAGUAGCUCAACUGGGAGAGCGUCUGCCUUGCACGCAGAAGGUUAGGGGUUCAAGUCCCCUCUACUCCACCA